rnacentral:rRNA from 1 species
UACAGAGGUCUCAAGCGUUGUUCGGAUUUACUGGGCGUAAAGGGCGCGUAGGCGGUCAGCACAAGUCAGUUGUGAAAUUUCCGGGCUUAACUCGGAAAGGUCAACUGAUACUGUGCGACUAGAGUGCGGAAGGGGCAACUGGAAUUCUCGGUGUAGCGGUGAAAUGCGUAGAUAUCGAGAGGAACACCUGCGGCGAAGGCGGGUUGCUGGGCCGACACUGACGCUGAUGCGCGAAAGCCAGGGGAGCGAACGGG